rnacentral:lncRNA from 1 species
UGAUUAAUGAACAUUCUCUGACUUAGAAUGAGGCUGAUUUAUAGAGCUUUAAUGAAGAAUACCAACGUUUACCCUAAGAUGACUUAGUCUUUCUUUUCUGGUAGCUUACUAAGGUGGUAGGUGGUAGAAGACAGUGAAAACGUUGAAAUGAAAAAGGCAAGGCAAAAUACCAGAUUUGUUCCACAGGAUUCCAGGAAUGGGAAAAUGUACCGUGUAUUCUAAUACUUGUGCAGCCCUGACUUUCAGAUGACUACAACGGGUCUGAGUCAUCUGCUGUGGAAAUGAUUUUUCUCCAGAAUGCCAGGGGGUUUCUAUGGCUUCUGGCAUGGGGGACAAACCUUUUGAGAAUUCCUCUGAACUCAAGUCCACAUUUGAUUGCAGUGUGGUACAUCAGCAGCAGGUUUUCAUCUCCAGUCUUUUGCUCCUUUCACCUACUAAUUCGAACACCAUCAUUCCCUUGCCACUGGGGGAGCAGCUUUUCUCUCCAGCGUGGUGUGACACCACUGGAGAUCUGGGCUGUGCAUUUGCCAUGGCAGUCCCAGAUACGUGCAUGCUCAUUCAGCGCUACACAGCAGCGAUGGAGCAGUCCACAGUGA